rnacentral:ncRNA from 1 species
AAGGCCUGAUGUGUGUGAGAUUACCCGCUGAAUUUAAGCAUAUAAGUAAGCGGAGGAAAAGAAACUAACUAGGAUUCCCUUAGUAAUGGCGAAUGAACAGGGAUCAGCUCAGUGCCAAAUCGGAAUCACUUGUGGUUCUGAAAUGUGGCUUGAAGGCAGUACCAGUGGCAUCGCGGACGAAAGUCUCUUGGAAAAGAGCGUCAUAGAGGGUGAGAAUCCCGUGAGUCGUUCGCCGUUUGUCACGUACGGUCUGCGUUCUAACGAGUCGCGUUCCUUGGGAUUGGAGCGUAAACGGGUGGUAAAUUUCAUCCAAAGCAAAAUAUAUACUCGAGACCGAUAGCACAAAAGUACCGUGAGGGAAAGGUGAAAAGAACUUUGAGAAGAGGGUUAAAUAGUGCCUGAAAUCGUUGAGAAGGAAGCGGAUGCCGCCGUUGCAUAUGCUGAUUGUAGGAUUGCUGCUCGCUCCUGUCUUCUGCUACUCAUUCACAGACCUGGUCGUGUUGAGCAGUUGUUUGGCAGAU